rnacentral:rRNA from 1 species
AUAUUGGACAAUGGGCGGAAGCUUGAUCCAGCCAUGCCGCGUGAGUGAAGAAGGCCUUUGGGUUGUAMAGCUCUUUCAGUGAGGAAGAUAAUGACGGUACUCACAGAAGAAGUCCUGGCUAACUCCGUGCCAGCAGCCGCGGUAAUACGGAGAGGGCUAGCGUUAUUCGGAAUUAUUGGGCGUAAAGAGCACGUAGGCUGGUUAGUAAGUUAAAAGUGAAAUUCCAAAGCUUAACUUUGGAAUUGCUUUUAAAACUGCUGACCUAGAGGUUGAAAGAGGAUAGAGGAAUUCCUAGUGUAGAGGUGAAAUUCGUAAAUAUUAGGAGGAACACCAGUGGCGAAGGCGUCUAUCUGGUUCAAAUCUGACGCUGAG